AACGAACGCUGGCGGCAGGCCUAACACAUGCAAGUCGAGCGAGACCUUCGGGUCUAGCGGCGGACGGGUGAGUAACGCGUGGGAACGUGCCCUUUGGUACGGAAUAGCCCCGGGAAACUGGGAGUAAUACCGUAUAAGCUCUUCGGAGGAAAGAUUUAUCGCCAAAGGAUCGGCCCGCGUUGGAUUAGGUAGUUGGUGGGGUAAUGGCCUACCAAGCCGACGAUCCAUAGCUGGUUUGAGAGGAUGAUCAGCCACACUGGGACUGAGACACGGCCCAGACUCCUACGGGAGGCAGCAGUGGGGAAUUUUGGACAAUGGGGGGAAACCCUGAUCCAGCAAUGCCGCGUGAGUGAAGAAGGCCUUCGGUUGUAAGACUCUUUGUCAGGAAGAAACGACCGGCUCUAACACAGUCCGGG
rnacentral:rRNA from 1 species